rnacentral:lncRNA from 1 species
GCCACGAUUGAAAUUGGAUCUCGAUCUGACUGCAUGUCAGAUCGAGAAAAAAAUUUUAAAGUCCGCUAUAUCCUGAUCUGAUCGAUUGGAUGUGCGGUCAUUCCUUCAUCCGAUGGAAGUCCUAUCGGAUGUCGAGGCCUCGAACACCAGGAAGGCCAUCGAUGACUACUGAAUUAUCCAAUCUUUACUUAGGUCAGCCAU